rnacentral:lncRNA from 1 species
GGCUUUUAGUUAAAAGAUGGUUAUUGUUAUCACAUGUACAUUAGACUAGCGGUAAAAGCAGUUCAAAGAAUAACAGAUAAAAGUACCUUAUACAAUUCUGCGAGACAAUCAACAAUUACUAAAAGGAAUCACAAUAGUAAAUUUACAAUCUUUCCUGGUAUGAGAAGUAUAUCCAAGAUAUAAAGUAAAAUGGCACGGUAACACCCGUCAUGCUUCUAUCUCUCCGUCACCAUAUAUAAAUAUUUUAUGUGUCAAAUCAAUCAUCAUGGCAACACCGUUCGUUUGUUCAACUCAUCCUUCCAAAUGAACGUAUAACAAAACCAAUCAGAUGACAGAAAUAUAGAUAACUGGAAUUUUAAAGUAGGAAAUAUGCAAGUAACAACAAUGGACAAAGAUAUACAUGUGGGCAACGGUAAAAGACUAAGCAAAAAAUAUGUGAGUAAUAAUAACAAUUGAAAAACAAAGAAUAUCAACUUCAAUUAACUAGCAUAUUGGAGGUCUAAGUACAAAUAUAACAAAUGAGACGGAAAUACAUGGUCUUUACAAGUUGAUAAGUAAGGGGACGAAUGUCUAACAUGAUGGAAGGCUUAUACUAAAGUGCAAAAAAAUAGAUACAAAAAGAGUAUACUUAUAAAAGCAGGAAAUAUGCAUGGUAUUUGCAAGUUAAGCAAGUAGAAGGUAUAAGCAACAUGACAACAAUUGAAAUAGAGAUCAAUGACGGAACAAUAGCAACAAGUCACAUCAGAUCAAUAAUUAUGACAAUAACAGUUCAAGGUAAAGACGUGAACAUACACACGAAAAACUGAUAUCAAACAUAAUGCAUGUUCCUCAUCCUCUCAUGCACGAAAACACCCAUCGUGCCAUGACCUCAUGAUAAUACACAAUCAUAGAAAUAUAAAUAUAAUGGAGCGGCAUCACCCUUCGUGCUUUUACUCUCACAUGAUAUGGUGUGGCAUCACCCUUCUUAAUUUUACUCUCAAUAAUGGCACAUCGCCCUUCGUGCUUUUACUCUCAAUAACAUGGCACGACAUCACCCUUUGUUUUUUACACUCUUUCUCUCAUGAUAAUAAAUAUAAAAUGGCACAUUAUCUUCCUUCUUGCUUUAGCCUCUUCCGUACCAAGUAUAUGAGUAUCAGCAAAGUGGCUAGGAGGGAAGUAUAAAUAACACCAAGGAGAAUAUUCAAAUGAAUAUUCCAAAUAAAUUCUCAAUCACUGCUUUCCAAUCCAACAAUGGUUCAAUGAACCCUCACAGGCCAUAUAAUUCAAGUAUUUUCACAAAUCCCACAAUUUAUCAACAACACAAGUAUGGAAUAUAGCAUCUCAAUAUAUCGACCGUAGCAAUAUAGUAAUGCUUAUGUAUAGAGAAGACCGAAUUAGAUGCAUCAAAUGUGUUCUAAGAAUUCCAUCAAAUUGAUCAAGUUAUAUUAGGCUAAGUCUCGAUUUCUAACAUUUAAUACUAUGUUCUAGAAGUCAAGUAGGCAUGAAUCAAGAAGGUUGUAUAAUUCCAAAAGGCACAAUUAUAAUAUAAUCUACCCCCGAGCAUGAUUAACCCUGCCACAUCCAUAUACGCUUGUCACCUUAUAUAUGUAUCAUCCCCGCAUGUAGCAAACAAUGUUAAAUAGGAGGAAAAUUUUCCUCGACAAAGUUAGGCAAGACACGUACCUCAAUUAGGCUAACUCAACGCUCAAAUUUAUCUUUUCAUUUACCAAUUCACCUCCAUUAGGCUCAAUUUAGCCGAUGGCGACUUGAAUACAUCACACAAUGCAAGAGAAAAUAAUUACAAUUAGUAAAGCCGUGAUUUUAUUCAAUUUCUGAAAAGUCAACAAAAGUCAAACCUCGAUCCCGCCCGAUCAAAACCCGGGACCAAGGUUAGGUCUUGACUACUCAUAGCAUUACGAGUCCAAAUAUGUGUUUGAUUUUCAAAUCCGAGUCCUAUUCGACUCUCAAAUCCUAAUAUUUUUAUUUUUUAAAACUUUGAUAAAAUUCCCAAAUUUUUCCAUGAAUUUGAUAUUAAAUCCUAUAUAAAAUCAUGAAAUAUAGUUGGAAAUUGAUUAAAGAUACCUACCACGUGAUUUUAUAUGAAAAUCUCCUCUCAAAAUCGAUUCUCAUCGAACUUUUAUGUCCUUCAAAAUAUAAUUUUAUGCUGGACAAAAUAAUAAUUUAAAACUUGGACUAAUAUUAAUUUGCACCGAAUCCUAAUCACAAACAAAUUUAGUCGAACUUAUAAGUAAAUUUUUGAAAGGAUCAUAUGAUUAAGCGGUGACAUUAAUUAGUAAUGAAUGUGGAUAAUAAUAUUUUUAAUGAAAUUAAGUCUUUGUUAUAGAUCUUUAUCAUACAAACCUACCUAAUAAUUAUAGCCGGCAUUGCCCACCGUUAUAAACUACCACCAUACAUCAUCACUUUUCUCAACUACAACCAUCACCCACCAUUAUUAACUAUCACCAUCCACCACCGCUAACCCCAAUCAUAAUCAUAUUGUUAUCAAUCACCAUUAGCUACUAUCUAAAACCACCAUUAUUAGAUUAAUUAGUAUUAUAUUAAAAUUUUGUGUUUAUUAAUUUUUAAAUAAAGAACAAAUAUUACAUUAUAUAGAUGUUAAAAAAAAAUAAUUAACACGAAAAUUAUACUUUAUAAUGUAAAAAAUUAACAAAUUGACAUAUUAACACUAAAAUUAAACAAUUUAAUUUUCAUAUUGAGAAGCCGAUUGAAAAGUACAAUAUAUAGUAUUUCUACAACAACAACAACAACAACAACAACUACCCAGUAUAGUCUCACAAGGUGGGGUCUGGGGAGGGUAAUAUGUAGACGGGCCUUACCCCUACCCGAAAGGGCACAGAGGUUGUUUCCAAUCGACCCUCGGCUCUUACUUUACGUAUACAUUCUUCAAAAUUAAGAUAAUACUCUAAAAGGUAGGAAUCACGAAGUAGACUGUUACUUGUACUAGAGCGCAAUAGUUUGUACACAGUGUAUCUGACCAGUCCAUGUUGCCACGAACACAUCAGUAAGCAUCUUUGUCUUGACUAAGAUGCAUUGGAAAGGACAACAUAAGUUUCCAAUGGCUGUAAAUCAUCAGUAGAGCUAUUUGUCUAAAGGGGGGAAAUAAAGGAGUGAACUAAUAGUUAAAAACAUGCAUAGUUUCCAUGUAGUUUCCUUCCCUUACACAACAGGGAAACGAUUGUUUGGUGAGUUUUAAAUAAUCAAAUAACAUUUGAAACUACAGAAAAAGAUUACAUUGUAAUAAAAGGGGAAACCUUGUUUGUGAUCAUUCUUUCCGACAUCCCUCAAUUAAAUGAAGAGGCACUUGAAUUCACUAUUACUGUAACAGCCAUUCAAGAACAUCAAGGAUACAAGGAAGAACGCACAGGGAUUUAUAUAAUAAGCUACAUUGAAAAUAAGAUCUCCCAGCCAUCAAAGUUUUACUAGAUUCAGCAUUUCAACCAGCUCCAUUAUAGCAUUCUGCAAAGUAAUGUCUUUACUGACCAGUAUAUUGAAUAAACUGGAAAAUUCUGUUUAGGUUUUCCAUUAUCCAGCCACUUAUAAGGCCACAAACUGAUAUUUCUGGCAUCACAUACUCUCAAUUUGACUCUGUCAACGAACUAAUUUUACAAGUUGCACAUGCCCGAACCACCUCAGCCUCGCUUCUCGCAUCUCUUCAUCCACCGGGGCCACCCCCACCUUCUCUCGAAUAACUUCAUUCCUAAUCUUAUCUAACCUGNNNNNNNNNNNNNNNNNNNNNNNNNNNNNNNNNNNNNNNNNNNNNNNNNNNNNNNNNNNNNNNNNNNNNNNNNNNNNNNNNNNNNNNNNNNNNNNNNNNNNNNNNNNNNNNNNNNNNNNNNNNNNNNNNNNNNNNUUCUCUGAACAUGGGAGUUCUUCACUGGACAGCACUCCGCCUCAUAUAACAUUGCAGGUCUAACCACAGCUCUAUAAAAUUUCCCCUUGAGUUUCAAUGGAACUUCCUUGUCACACAGGACUCCUGAUGCAAGCCUCCACUUUGACCACCCCGCUACAAUACGAUGAGUGACGUCCCCAGGUAUUCAGUCUUAGAUCUGUCUCCAUACCUCGAGAGUCUGUCUCCAUACCUCUAACCUCUCAUUAACGCCGGCCCUCGUCUCGUAUAUCAAGACUAUGUCAUCAGCAAAUAGCAUACACCAAGGCACAUCCCCUUGAGGUUAAAUAUGUCGUGUGUGCAAAAUUUCAGGUCAUUCGGACGAGGAUUGAUAGACCUUUUGAUCGAAAGCGUGUUAUAAAGUUUUUGGGAUUAUUAGGCUUGAAUCCGAUAAAAAAAAAUAGGUGUUUUGAUGUUGUUUUGAGCGUUCCGAAAGUUGGAACAAGUUUGAAUGAUGUUUAAGGUUGAUUGGAAGGUUUGUUGAUGUCCCGGGGACCUCGAGUUUGUUUUCUUAUCCCUGAACUGCUCCACCAGCCGCCUGCCAAGGUGGAUAGCUUCUGUAAUGGAGCGACCCGGCAUGAAACCGAACUGGUUCACAGAUAUAGAUGUCAUAUCCCUCACUCUCACCUCGAUCACCCGCUCCCAGAUCUUCAUGGUGUGAAUUAUUAAUUUGAUACCCCUAUAGUUGUUGCAGCACUGGAUGUCCCCUUAGUUCUUGUACAAGGGCACCAGUGUAGUCCACCUCCACUCCUCCGGCAUCCUUUUGGUCCCGAAGAUCGCAUUGAACAACCUGGACAACCACUCUACUCCUGACCUACCCAUGCAUUUCCAGAACUCCAUCGGGAUUUCGUCUGGCCCGGUCGCUCGACCCCUACUUAUCUUACGCAAAGCCCUCACGACCUCUUUCACCCUAAUGCGCCUGCAGUAUCCAAGGUCUCUAAGACACUCUGAAUUACCCAACUCCCCUAGCUCUAUGUCUCGAUCCCCUCCUCGUUGUUGGUAAUCAAAGGACGGUAAAUGGAUUUUACUCUUAUUGUACGGGUAAAUCAGUGAUGCCAAUAGGCAUUGAUGAAUGACGAAGCAUGAUUUGAAUUUUGAGUUUGAUUAGUUUAUAAAAUAUACAGAUUCUUUGACCUAAAGAUUUUACCUGGCCUGACUUAAGUAGUUACUGGCAACCGGUGUUUCUCCAAGAAAUUAUAAAAGGUUAGCAAAAAACUAAAUUUGCAUGAUCACAAGCAGGAAUAAGUCAAUCACUCUGUAGUGCUGCUGCAGUUUUUGUCUGAGACACAUUGCUUCUGAAGUAUGUAUAAUUUUGAUAUAAUUCUGCGAAGCUCUGCGAAGCAGCGUUUUAGGAAUUUAUCAGGACAGAGUCUGACUCGAUAUCUAUUUCUGCAGCUGCAAACCUGUUAUUUCUCGACUCUCCUGUUGGAGUCGGUUAUUCCUAUUCAAACACUUCAUCUGAUCAUCUCAACAACGGCGACGCUCGUACAGGUAAUAAUUUGACCUUUCCAGUUAUUUCCCUGAGGUUAUUAUUCAUAUAUUUCUGUAUAUAUGUAUUAAAUUCCUUCAACUGUUGCAUUACAGCUGCGGAUUUCCUCGCAUUUUUACUGAAGUGGCUUGAACGAUUUCCAGAAUGUAAAGGAAGAGAUUUUUAUAUUUCAGGAGAGAGCUAUGCCGGUAAAAUUAAUUUUCUACGCUUGCUGUGAAAUUUCUAUUUCCAAUCAUUUUCUGUAUAGCUGUAUUCUGUGCAAUAUGAUUAGAUAAAUAUCUCUCAUUAAGCCAAAUCUUGGGCAUAAGCAUCCCUUUGAAUUGAUUGAUUUCAAGUUGUUUGUUGAAAAUUCAUCACACUGCCACUAAUCUUAUACUAAGUAUUGUUAUUAUAAUUGUCUUUUUUGAUAAAUAUAUUUCUUCAUUUGAUUUAUUGCUGCCUUUUCAAUAUCCAAAGAUGUCGUGAUGACAGCAAAAGCAUCUCAACAUUUGAUUGGACUUUAUGCAAGCAACUAUGUUUUCUUGAUAUAUUCUGGUUCUUUUCUGUUUGUUUUCUUGGGUAGCUAAAAUUCAAUUAGCUAAACAACUUUAGUUUUACUUAUUCCUGAUUGUGGAUCAGGGCAUUAUGUUCCUCAGCUAAGUCAAGCUAUUGUGAGGUACAACAAGGGUGUAAAGAAGCAAGUAAUCAACUUAAAAGGUUUCAUGGUAUGCACACCUUUUUAUCAACUCAGUGCACUUAUAAGAUUAUCAAAGUCGAAUCAUUUACUAACGUUAGGUAAUGAGUAUUGCAGGUUGGAAAUGCUUUGACUGAUGACUACCAUGACCACUUGGGACUAUUUCAAUUCAUGUGGUCAGCAUAUAUAGUAUUUCUACUUUAAAUUAUUUAAUUAAUAUAAAUUCCUAAAUUUAAAGAGUUUAUUGAUUUUGAACUAUAUUAAUCUCAACUAUUUUUCUAGAAUAUUAACCCAAUAUUAUUCAUUUUAGAGUCUUAUUAUUUGUAACGAUCGGACUGGUCGUUCUGAGAUCAAGCACGGCUUUCGGCGUUAAGGCCAGAGCAGUUAGACUUCAGGUAUUACGACAUGUUCACGUGGUCAGAAUUGAAAUUCGGGAAGAUCAGAGUUGAUUUGGAAACAGAAUUCUUAUUUCGAAAGCUUUAAGUUGGAAGAUUAUGACUAACGUUAGAUUUUUAGUAAACGACCUCGAAAUCAGGAUUUGAAGGUUCCAACAGGUUCGUAUGAUAAUUUUAGACUUGGGUGUAUGCCCAAAUUGGAUUUUGGAUGAGUCGGGAGCGUUUUGGCACCUAUUGUGGAAGUUAGCAUUUUGGAAGAAUUUCAUAAAUUUGGGUUAAAUGCAGUUCAAUAUUAUCUAUAUCUAUUUGGGAAUCCAAGUCUGGAAUAGCUCCAUAUGGUGAUUCUGGUAUUGGGAGCGCGUCAGGAAGUAGAUUCAAGGGUUCAUACGCCAUUUUGGGGUCAUUCGACGAAAGUUAGAAUUUGAAGGUUUUUUAGGAGUUUGACCGGAAGUGGACUUUUGAUAUUGAGGUCGGAUUCGGAUUCUGAAAGUUGGAAUAGGUUCGUAAUGACGAAUAUGACUUGUGUGCAAAAUUUGAGGUCAAUCGGACAUGAUUUGAUAAGUUUCGGCAUCAAAUGUAGAAGUUUGAAGUUAUAAAGUUCAUUAAGCUUGAAUUGGAGUGCGAUUCAUGGUUUUAGUGAUGUUUGAUGUAAUUUGAGGCCUUGAGCAGGUCCGUAUUAUGAUAUGGAAUUGGUUUGUGAGAUUGAACAGGAUCCCGGGGGUUCGGGUGGAUUCAGGAUGGUCAACGGGUUGAAUUUGGCCUUGUGGAGGUACUGAGGAUGCUUUCUUCUGGUGUAACCGCACCUGCUAGGUUAGGGCCGCAGGUGCGGAGCCGCAAAAGCGGCCAUGAGGGUCUCAUAAGCGGCUUACACUGUAGAAGAUUGUGACUGCAUAUACGUCCAAGUUCCGCAAAGGAGGGACCACACAUGUGCGCAGGGAGCCGCAGAAGCGUAGGAACAAACUGAAUCGAGGGGUCUAGUGGAGGAACACAGAUGCGGUAUUUUGUCCGCACCUGCAGAACCGCAAAACAGCUAAGUGACCGUAGGUGCGAAGAAUCGUUGGGCAUUGUGUUUAUUUAAAAUACGAGAUUUGGCCCAUUUUCUUUCAUUCUUCUCUUGAUUUUGGCGAUUCUUAGAGGGUUUCAAGAGGGAUUUUUCUCAUCAAUAGAAAGGUAAGCUAUCCCCACCUAUUAUGAGAUAAACACAUUGAUUAUGUACAUAUUUUAACAUGAAAAUUAGUGAAAAUUUGGGGUUUUGAAGAAAAACCUAGAAAUUUAUAUUUUUAGAUUUUGACCACAAAAUUGGACAUGGAAUUGGGAAUAAACUAUAUAUUUGAGUUUGUAAAGUUAUGGCUAAUGUUUAUCUUUGAAAAAAUUAGGAAUCCAGGCACGUAGGCCCGAAGGUGAUUUCAAUCGACUUUCCAAGCGGAAUUAAGAAUUGUUGUAAAUAGAAUUGUUAUGAGUAUUAGAGUGUAUUUUCAUUGGUUUGUCCAUUGUUUGGCUAGUUUUGGAGCGUUGAGCACCGGUUUGAGGUGUUAGAGCGAUGUUGGAGCCGAUAUGGAACUUCGAAGAGAGGUAAGUCUCCUUUCUAACAUUGUAAGAGGGAAUUAACCCCAUAGGUGAACUAGAUUAUUAUGUGCUUCUAUUUAUGCAGACUACGUAUGUACGAGGUGACGAGAGUCUGUACGUAGCUAUUACCUAUGUCUAUGUCCGGGUAGUGUUAGGCUUAUAUCAUGCGUUUAUAAUUAUUAUUUUCCUUGAGAAGGAGCGAGAUUGAGUUUGCUUAUUAAAUGUUUUGAGAAAGUCAAAAUUGAGGAAGAAUUUGAGAUCUUAAAAGUUUUCAUUUGAACUUCGUAUUUUGUGCAGAAUGGAAGAAUACUAAUGUGACGACCUGCCCGGUCGUCUUAUGAAUUAAUGCCAUGAUCCCCUAUUAACUACUUUUCCCAUGUUUAUUUCUGCUACUUAGAUUUGUUGGGAUGUUCGAUUUUAAGUUUCUGAGAGUUUUGGGACACUUAGUCCCUAAAUGAGAGCUUAAGUGUAGGGAAGUUCACCGUGGUCGAAACAGUGUGAAGACGGCCUCUGAAUAGAAAUAUGAUGGUUCCGUAAACUACGUUGGGUGAUUUUGGGGUUAAAAGCGUGCUCGUAUUGUAUUUUGGAGGUCCGUAGCAAAUUUAGGCUUGAAAUGCCAAAAGUCGAAUUUUUGAAGUUUCUGGUUUGAUAGUGAGAUUUUUACCCGAGGAUCGAAAUGGAAUUUUGGAAGUUGGAGUAGCUUUAUAGGGUUAAAUAUGUCGUGUGUGCAAAAUUUCAGGUCAUUCGGACGAGGAUUGAUAGACCUUUUGAUCGAAAGCGUGUUAUAAAGUUUUUGGGAUUAUUAGGCUUGAAUCCGAUAAAAAAAAAUAGGUGUUUUGAUGUUGUUUUGAGCGUUCCGAAAGUUGGAACAAGUUUGAAUGAUGUUUAAGGUUGAUUGGAAGGUUUGUUGAUGUCCCGGGGACCUCGAGUGUGUUUUGGGUGCUCAACAGACCAUUUUUUAACUUGGAAAGGCAUCAGAUUUCGCUGAUAUGUGUUGCAGGUUAUUCUUCAUCACGAUGACGUAUAGAGUAUCGUGAUCGCGAAGGAUUAGGCGAGGCUGGGGGAAUUUUACCCUUCGUGUUCGCAUGAAAGGGAAUACAAACCCGUAGCUAUGAGGAAGGCUGAAUCGCGAACGCGUGGGCUAGGCCGCGUUCGCGUGGAAGAAAUAAGUCGGCAGAGGUUUGAAAUUGUUUCUCUACGCGGUCGCGUGGAGUCAACCGUGAUCGUGUAGGUUGAGGGAGCUAGAGCAUCGCGUUCAUGAACGGGGUUCCACCUUCGCAUAGAGUAAAUCUGAGGCGCGUGAUUUUGUUCUCCGCGAUCGCGACUGGUCUUCCGCGGUCACGAUCAAGGGAAAAGAUUGACAGAAUAUAAAAUUUCAAAACGAGGAUUUAGCCAUUUUUGAGAAAACUGAAGCUUGGGAGCUCAGAUUUGAGCGAGAAUUUGAGGGAUUUUCAGAGAUAUCGAUUUGGUAACGAUUCCUAACUUCUUUUUGCUUGUAACCCAUUAAUCUAAACAUGAAUCCAUCCUUUAAUUUCGGAGAUUGUAUGAAAAUUGGGAAAAGGUUCGUAGACUAAGAUAUUGAGUUUUGAUUGGGGAUUUGGCAUCAUGAAUAAUUUUGGCACGGUGGACUCGUGAGAGUACGAGGUUUCUGAAAAUGUAAAUUUUACCCGAUUCCAAGGCGUGGGCCCGAGGGGCAUUUUGGUCAUUUUACCUAAUUUCGCGUACUAGCUUAGAAUUUAAUUAUAGCGUUAGUUGCGUGAAGUGUUAUUUACAUUAUGAAAUUGAAUUGAAUAGAUUUGGGACAUUUAGAGUCGAAUACUGAUGGCAAGAGCGCGGUCUCGGGUUGAUUUUGAGCCGGUUCGAGGUAAGUGGCUUGCCUAACCUUGUGUGGGGAUCUUCCCCUUAGGAUUUGGUAUAUUUGAUAAUCGAAAUGCCUGAUAUGUGAGGUGAUGAGUGUGUACUUGAGCUAAUUAUUGAAAAUUCGAUUUUCUUUAAGUAAUUUCAAUUGUGUUCCUUGUUCCUUGUUCAUGUUUCAUUUUACUUGCAAUUUAAAUAUGUUGUUAGCUUAGGAAAAGCAUGUCUAAUUGACUUGACUACUUAUUUGCUUAAACUGACUUGGUUGAAUUAUGUGAAGCAUGUUAGGGUAGAAUUUCCUGUUUAUUUGAAAAAAUUGAGCUUAAUUGAGUAUUCUUGCAUUUUUGCUGUAUGUUUUACUUUGGAACUAUGGGACGGCACCUCGGGAGAUCCCCUGUACGAAAUUAUGAUUUGAACUGAGGUACGGGAUACCAAGAAUCCUUGGCACGUAUAUUGAGGAUGUCACACCUCCUUUUUCACUACACCCGCAAGGGCGUAAAUAAAUUUUUCCAAUUAAAGGACAAUCGGAACGCGAUUUAUUAUUAAGAUUUCAGAGUUGCCACUUGGGAGAUUAAUGGUGUCCCAAGUCACCGGUUGAAUCCCGAACUGAGGAAAAAUAUAACUCUGUUAGCAGUCCGCGAACCAGAAAUCCGAGUAAGAAAUUCUGUUAACCCAGGAGAAGGUGUUAGGCAUUUCCGAGUUCCGUGGUUCUAGCACAGGCACUCAACUAUUAUAUUUGGAUUUAUCUCAUUUCAAAACAUGUUUUAACUUAUAUGCUUUUUAACCGUAAAUCGCUUUUAUUAUUAUUUUUUACAAGAAAUUGCAACGUCGUGAAAACAUGUCUCGAACCACGUCACAUCAAUGCACCCGUGGUUGUUGACACAUUUCGACUUUGUUGAGAUUUGGAUUUGAGUUGCAUAAAUGUGCACUCUAAUUGAGGAAGGUAACAUUAUUAAAAUUCGUGCCUAAAGAGACUAACGCAUUAUUACCUUUGGGGAGGGCCGUGAAAUUAGCUAAACGGCUCAUCCCGAAUUCUAAGUAUUUUUAGUAUAAACAUUUAUCGAGGGCCCCGCAAUUUAUUUGUUUUAUUUAGCGAGGCUCAUCUCGUUUAUUUAUUUGUCUCUAAUAAUAAAGAAAAGGUCCUACUUAAUUCAUUACGGGACCAAAUGAUAAUUCUGCACUACAGUCCAACUGUUUUAGACCUACUCAAUUUGAAACCCUUAGCCUCGUCUGUCGCCAAACCUCAAAUCUCUCGUUAACAUCUGCCCUCGUCCCAUCAAUUAGAACGUUGUCAUCAGCAAACAGCAUUCACAGAACACAUAUUUUUUAAUUUAUUUUUAAAAAAACAAAAGUAUAGAUGGAUCUGUACGUUGCAUAUAAACGCACCAAUUCAUUCUAUUUGAGCAACAAUCACAUAACCAAACAUACUUCAGUCAAAAACACAUAGAAUAUCCAACAAAUUGAAAACCUUGCAAACCAUCGAGGCGGGACUUUAUACUUAAAAACUGUGCAGAUUUGCUGCCUAAAUAGUGCGAAAACAGAGUAGAUUUUCCGUGGAGUAAACCCUGGCUAACUCGGAUUCACAUUAGACACGACUCUUCAACAUAUGCACCGGCUUGACUGAUGCACCACAUCAAACAUAAUAACCAUGAAAAAAAAACUGAAAUAAGAUUUGAAAUACAGUCGACUAAAACAAGCAUGAAGCUACAGUUUAACGAACAACACGUAGCAGACUUCCAGCAACUCUGUUAUUAAGACAUUUGAACCCAUUUGAUUCAAGGUCCGCUUUAGCACAACCAUUGACUAGUUGUGUGCUGAAUCCUAUAUCAGAAAACCACAGCUGACAGUGAAAACCGAUCUAGGUCAACCACACAUUUCCAGUACAACAAUUGCAGAACUAUUAAAUAGUUCUCUGGACCUUAUGGCUCCAUUAUAUUAUCACGGACACCAGAGCACAUUGCAAAGAAGAUCACCAGAAGAAACUGAACACAUUAUUCAUUUGAAAUCGAUAACACUUUGAUUCAGAAUAUACUUCAAGCUUGAAUAACCGUCAAGACAUGUAGGAAAUGAAAGACGACUAUUCAAAUCGACUUCUACUAACUGAAAAAUACUCAAACACAUACUGCCAUUGAAAACAGAUUUACUCAGCAAGGAAUUUGAUCAUAGCACAAACAGAGCACUCGAGACAGAAACACAUAGUUCAAAAUACUGAAACGAAACAGAAUAGCAAGAACAGAGAGAUGAAGACUGAACCUGAAAUUUCGAACUUCUUUUGAUAACAUAAUCGAAGGAGAUUGCACAGUUUCGACUCCAAAACUACCACAAGAACACAAUGGCAUAUCAAAGCACGAAGAACAGCAAAUCUGUACCAGCCGAGUAGAAACAAGAGGUUCGAACAGCGAUGAAACUCAGCAACUCUGAAACGAGCUCCAUUUUUAAACCAAAAUCCGGACUGGAAUGUAAAUUGAACUGGUUUCACCACUGAAUAUUUUGAAGCUUAUAGACAGUAGGCCAAACAACCAAGAAAUCACCAAAAAAAACUUGACACCUUUCUGAAAAAUCCUCUCCGAUUUUGACAGGGGAAACAUAAUUAAACUCGGAAAAGAAAACACAAACUAUUUUUUGUAUUAUUUUUUUUUCACGAAGAAGAAACAAAGAAGAUGAGAAUCUAAAUUGGAAAGUUUCAGAAAACUCCCCGUCUCUCCUCAACCUUUCGUCCAAACUUUUCUAUUCUAUUUUUCUCCCUCCUUACAAAAUUGGAAUUGGCCCUUUUUGAAAACGAAACUCUGAUGAAUGUGGGGCUUGGAUUCAGUAAGAUCGACCCGACGCCUCAUACUCAUCCAACAAACGUUCUUCAGAGCCUUCCAAUCGCGUGAGAUGGUUCAAAAUUGGGCGAGUGAGAGGAGUGAGAAUCUUUGGUGAGAAAUCCGUUAUCUGUGGUAAUAGGAGGGAUCGAGGAACAUGUAGGUUAGGGAUUGAUGUUCACUCACGUGAAUUUUGGGCUGAAAUGGGACUUGGGUGCGUGGGUUCUUCGAAGAAGAAGAACAGUGUUCAUGUAUUAGGGAUUUAGGAACUUUGGGUGUCUCUGG